UUACAGAAUACUAGAUCCAACAAAGGCAAGGUACACAUUCUGUUAAAGUGCAAAUGGAAGAUUCACCAAAUUAGACUCUAGGUCCAUUAAAAAAAAAGGCACAACUAAAUAAUUUAAAAGUAUCAUAAUCAUAUGAAGUAUGUUCUCUGAUCCCACCAAUUAAAACUCAAUUACGGUAAGAUUUCAGGAAAGUUCAAAUAUUUGGAAAAUAAACUCAAUUUACUAAACAACUCAGAGAUGUAAGUAACGACAAGAAAAAUUAGAAAAUCACUUUGGCCUGCACAACAGUAAAAACAUAUCAUCAAAAUUCGUGGGAUGCAGAUGAAGCUGUACCUGGAGGGACAUUGAUAGUAUUAAAUACUUGUAUUAGAAACAAAGAAAUGCAUGUGAGAACAAAGAUCUAAGCAUCUACCUUAAAAAGUCAGAAUAAGAGCAAAUUAAACCCAGAGUAAGAAGAAAGGAAAUCAUAGCCAUAAGACCAGAAAUCAAUGAAACAAGAAAGGGACAAACAACAUAAUUUAAUUAAUGACAUCAAAAGGGGGCCCUCCAAAAUGAACAGUAAAAUGAAUAAAUCUCGAUCUAGAUUGAUCAAGAAAAAACAAAAUACAAAUCACCAACAUCAGGCAUGAGAGGAGACCACUAGAAAUUCUACAAGCAUAAACUUCUUUCAAAAAACUCCAGGCCCAGAUGACUUCACUAGUGGGUUCUACCAAACAUCUGAAGAAAAAAGAAAACCCAAAAUCUUCCAAAAUACAGAAGAGAAGGGAAUACUAUGUAACUUAUUCUAUAAAAAUGGUAUUACCAAGAUACCCAGAUACCCAAACCAGACAAAAAUGUCUCAAAAAAAGAAUAUCCCUUAUGAAUAUAGACAGAAAAACCUUCAACAAAAUAUUAGCAAACACUCUGACAACAUAUAAAAAGGAUUAUAUACCAUGAUCAAGGUCAUACAAAAUUGGUUUCAUAUGUGAAAAUCAACCAAUGUAAUAUACUAUAUUAGAAUAAGAAACAAAAACCACAUGAUCACUUCACAAGUGCAGAAAAGCAAAUGACAAAAUCCAACAGCCUUUCAUAAUGAAACACUCAGUAAACUAGGAAUAAUAACUUAAUAAGGGCCAUCCUGAGAAACCCACAGGUAACAUCAUACCCAAAGGCAAGACUGGAUGCUUUCCCCUUAAGAUCAGGAAUAGAUAAGGAUCCCCACACUCCCCUUCUAUUCAACAUUGUACUGGAGGUUCUAGCCAGGGCAAAUAGGUAAGAAAAAUAAAUAGAAAGAACCCAGACUAGAAAGAAAGGUACUAUGGGAAACAUUGUUCUCAGUGAAGAAGGUCCAGAUACUCUGUGGGGAGACCGCAAAUCACAAAAGCCAGUCAUUAGAGAAAUAGAAACAUUUCCUAUUAUUUGAUUUUUGUAAGUUCUUGGUGCCUUACAAAAAGAGGAAUAGAGUAGCCUGGCUCCUAUUGCUAAAUGUUUACCAUCUUCAAAGGGACUGAAACAAAAUAUCAAAAUUAAAGGUAUAUUAUUCAAAAUUACAAAGAUAAAUAUGUAUAUAACAUAUUUAAAUAAUUAAACUUUCAAAAGAAUUUUUUGUUAAGUUUGUAGCAUAUAUACUUCAGAAAUUAUAGCUUAAAACUACACUAAGACUUUUGGGACACCAUAUAUUAGUGAUUAUUCAGGAAAGUUAUCCCUCUAUUUAUAUUAAAAGGAACUCAAAUUCCUUUACCAAUAAUUACUAACUGAGGAAAUCAGAGCCCUUUAUUUAAAUGUUCUGCAGAUUGCAGGCAAUGGGAGCAGGAAAUGAAAGAGAUCUCGGAAAUAGCCCAGGUAAAGGAGACAAACCCUAGAAAAGAAACCACAAUUGUAUUAAUUCUAUCUUCAUUCCAUGUCUUCUCCUACUAAACACAUGAAGAAGAAAUGGGUUAUUUUAAUAACCUAAACAUAGCAGGAACUAAAUAUGGUUUGUCCUUGAGUAUCAUAACAAAAAAAGGCCCACAAAAUUCAAGUGAGCAGAGCACUCUCCUUUCCUUAACUAAAAAACUUAUGGGAGAAAUCAUCUCCACUGGGCACAUUGGCUCAUGCCUGUAAUCCCAGCACUUUGAGAGGCCAGGGCAGGAGGAUUGCUUGAGCCCAGGAGUUUGAGAACAGCCAGGGCAACAAAGCAAGACCUUGUCUCCACAAAAAAUAAAAAAUUAGCUGGGCGUGGUGGCAUACACCUAUAGUCCCAGCUACUCAGGAGGGUGAGGUAGGAGGCUCAUUUGAGCCCAAUAAGUUGAGGCUGCAGUAAGCUGUGACUGUGCCACUGCAUUCCAGCCUGGGUGACAGAGCAUGUGAGACAGAGUCUUGCUCU
rnacentral:lncRNA from 1 species